rnacentral:rRNA from 1 species
ACACUCCUGCGGGAGGCAGCAGUGGGGAAUUUUGGACAAUGGGCGAAAGCCUGAUCCAGCAAUGCCGCGUGAGUGAAGAAGGCCUUCGGGUUGUAAAGCUCUUUUGUCAGGGAAGAAACGGUGAGAGCUAAUAUCUUUUGCUAAUGACGGUACCUGAAGAAUAAGCACCGGCUAACUACGUGCCAGCAGCCGCGGUAAUACGUAGGGUGCAAGCGUUAAUCGGAAUUACUGGGCGUAAAGCGUGCGCAGGCGGUUUUGUAAGUCUGAUGUGAAAUCCCCGGGCUCAACCUGGGAAUUGCAUUGGAGACUGCAAGGCUAGAAUCUGGCAGAGGGGGGUAGAAUUCCACGUGUAGCAGUGAAAUGCGUAGAUAUGUGGAGGAACACCGAUGGCGAAGGCAGCCCCCUGGGUCAAGAUUGACGCUCAUGCACGAAAGCGUGGGGAGCAAACAGGAUUAGAUACCCCUGUAGUCCCA